rnacentral:rRNA from 1 species
UACAGAGGGUGCAAGCGUUAAUCGGAAUUACUGGGCGUAAAGCGUGCGUAGACGGUAGCGUAAGUCGGGUGUGAAAGCCCCGGGCUCAACCUGGGAACUGCAUUUGUGACUGUAGAGCUGGAGUGCGGCAGAGGGGGAUGGAAUUCCGCGUGUAGCAGUGAAAUGCGUAGAUAUGCGGAGGAACACCGAUGGCGAAGGCGGGUCUCUGGGCCGAAAUUGACGCUGAGGAGCGAAAGCGUGGGGAGCAAACAGG